GCCCCCAUCGUCUAGCGGCCUAGGACGCCGGCCUUUCACGCCGGUGGCGCGGGUUCGAAUCCCGCUGGGGGUA
rnacentral:tRNA from 1 species